GACGAACGCUGGCGGCGUGCUUAACACAUGCAAGUCGAACGGAAAGGCCCUGCUUUUGUGGGGUGCUCGAGUGGCGAACGGGUGAGUAACACGUGAGUAACCUGCCCUUGACUUUGGGAUAACUUCAGGAAACUGGGGCUAAUACCGGAUAGGAGCUCCUGCUGCAUGGUGGGGGUUGGAAAGUUUCGGCGGUUGGGGAUGGACUCGCGGCUGAUCAGCUAGUUGGUGGGGUAAUGGCUUACCUAGGCGUUGACGGCUAGCCGGCCUGAGAGGGUGACCGGCCACACUGGAACUGAGACACGGUGCAGACUCCUACGGGAGGCAGCAGUGGGGAACAUUGCACAAUGGGCGCAAGCCUGAUGCAGCCAUGCCGCGUGUAUGAAGAAGGCCUUCGGGUGGUAAAGUACUUUCAGCGGGGAGGAAGGGAGUAAAGUUAAUACCUUUGCUCAUUGACGUGACCCGCAGAAGAAGCACCGGCUAACUCCGUG
rnacentral:rRNA from 1 species